UUGAAUGGACCUCACCCUAGGACGCUGGUGCCCUCGGAAACGGGAUCUGAGGUCCGGAUCACUAAAGCUCAGAGAUGUGAGGGAAGCCGAGAAGUUGCCGAAAGGGGCUGAGAGCUGCUACUCCUUUUCCCUGGGCAGCAAACCUCAAGCUUGUGCGGGCCAAUCAUUGCAUUCUGGUAACCAGCGCUUUAUUUAGCGCCUAAUGGCUUUCCUGCCCUGCAGCACUCGAAGGGCGCGGACCUUCGCUGAGACGCCACCCGUGCAAGUGGAAGAAGCCCUUGCGCCACUGCUGAGCGGUUGGAGGGGACACUGCAGCAGCGAUGACCUCCGAGGGUCAACGAGACCAGGUGCCCAUUAGGGAAACAGAGAUGGAGGAGAAAUCAUGCGUCAAGGUCUGAAAUUCGACGUGGCUGUCACUGGAUAUCUCCUCAUUGUCGCCAUACAUGCACCCGCCUGCAGCGGCGCACCGGACUCGGUGCUGCACCUUCCUCCUGGCGCCUGCGCCACUGCCCCCGCGCAGGUCCCACCGCGCAGGACGCCCCUUCCCGCUUCCGACGUCUACUAUGGAUCACACGCGGUCACCGCCAAAGCCUCCAUUUCGGUUCUGACCCAAUGACUUUGGGGACGCCCAGGGAGAAGAUGUGGAGAGGAUGUGGCCAAGGCGAACCAGCCAGUGUAAGUGCGAAUGCUUCUGGCUUCUCGGUAACACCUACCCUGCCCCACCACCCAAAUCGGGCCUUGAUAAAAAAAGAAGCAUCUUGACAAUAUAUUUUUAGACAUAAGUAAGUUGAAUGUGCCCACGGAGAGAGGUUGAAGACAUUUGAUUAUUAGGACAGAGUAGAAGCCUGUCUGGUUCAUCCCCUUGGCCAGCUCUGAAGCAGCAGUGGACACAUCUCUGCGAUUUUGCAAGGAUGUUUGUG